CUCAGUUUUGACGAAAAGUACUGUAUAUGAAUAUUUCACAUGCUUUGGGGUGUUCGACGCAUGCAUUUCUUCGUGUACCUUCAUGUUUGCUGACUUCAGAUCAUGAAUCGUGAGACCGCGGUGAUUUUGCCAGAUACCUGCCUGUGUGCCGGAGUCCCUGUUCCCAGUCCUGGCUGCCCCAAGUGAUUUCAGACUCGCCAGCCUCUCAGCUGCACAUGCCAACCCUUUG